rnacentral:rRNA from 1 species
AUUGAACGCUGGCGGCAGGCUUAACACAUGCAAGUCGAGCGAGCGGCGGACGGGUGAGUACUGUCUGGGAAACUGCCUGAUGGAGGGGGAUAACUACUGGAAACGGUAGCUAAUACAGCAUCCCAUCAGAUGUGCCCCGAUGGGCUUAGCUAGUAGGUGGGGUAAUUGCUCCCCUGGGCGACGAUCCCUAGCUGGUCUUAGAGGAUGACCAGCAACACUGGAAGUGAGACACGGUCCAGACUCCUACGGGAGGCAGCAGUGGUGAAUAUUGCACAAUGGGCGCAAGCCUGAUGCAGCCAUGCCGCGUGUGUGAAGAAGGCCUUCGGGUUGUAAAGCACUUUCAGCGAGGAGGCGUUACUCGCAGAAGAAGCACCGGCUAACUCCGUGCCAGCAGCCGCGGUAAUUC